UGUUAAAAUCCUGGUGUUAAGGACUUUUAGAGUAAAGAGUUAAACUUGUGGUGUUGAAUUUGAGAGGAUUAACACUAGCUAGUGUAAACAGCGCCCUCUGGCCGGUGUAAAUACGCCGAGUUACCCUUAUUAACACUGUUGAGUGUUAUCAGUCACAUCCGGGACAUUUGCUCGUGUGCGCGCCUCACCCAUCUGAAAUAUUUUUUACAGACGCCAUUUUCUUUGCUCGCGACGCGGAGCAUAAUGAGGAAGGGAAACAGCGAAAUACAGCGUUUAAUCUUAAUUACAAAAUGUAAUGUAAUGUCAUAUCGUUUAAUAACGAUAUUUAUGUGCUGUAUGUGGCUAAAUUUUUCUCUGAGACAUGUUUAUCCACUCGCGAUGCGGAACAGACCAGAGUCCUGUACUCCUAAACUUUUUCUCAGAGAGAUAUUUUCUUUCACUCACGAUACAGAGGAGACCAGUUUUAUCAAGGAAAACACCGAAAAUUUGAAUUGCAAUGCGGAGCUGACGCAGAUGAGCCGCUUUUAAUAGGGAAACUUAAGGGAGAUAUUUUCUUUCACUCACGAUGCGGAGCAGACGGGGAAGUUGGUUUUAUCAAGGAAACACCUAAAAUUUGAAUUGUUAUGCAGGGCAGACGCAGAGGUCACUUUAACAGGAAAACGUAAGAAAGAGAUAUUCUUUCACUCUGGAGAUGAUGUGCUUGAAGAGUAUGAAGUCACCAUUACAUUAAGUGGGAUGAGAAGAGCUCUGUUAGGACACAUACCAGAAACAAGGGAGGAGUCCAACCUCAAUGCAGAGAGAGAUCAGUACGCACUUGGAAUUAUGACUUUGUUUCUGUUGUUAAAAGACUAAUUUUCCAGUCACUGUAGCCACCCAGAUCCAGACUGAAUCCAGAUCAGAUGGUCACUGCAGUUCCCUGGAUCCAGUCCGUAUCCAGUCCAGAUGGUGGAUCAGUACCUAGAGAUGACCUCUACAGCCCUGAACGUCAGCGGAGACCAUGACAACUACAUGAGCCCCAGAGACAGAUCCCCUGCGAACACCUCGUCAACACACCCAUUGGCACAAGACCUCUGCUCAAUCUGACUUUGUUGCAGCCUAUUUCCCUGUUUAAUACUGUAAAGCUGCAUUGAUACAAUCUGCAUUGUAAAAAAUGGAUGUAAAAUUAUCCUGUUUUUUAUGUUUUUGUUAUUUAGUUUUCUAAUUUUACAGGAGCACUUUUGAAAUGCUCCAAGUGGGAAUGGAUAUCUUGCUUGGCUGAAAACAGCAGAGAAACACAUCUUGUCAUGCUGAAAACAAAGCAAAGACUGUUGUUAAAGCUGAUAAAUGUAAGCAUUAUAAACCUUAAAACAUUAAGAGCACAUAUGGACCAAAUAAGAAUUUGUAUUUUGUGCCUUUGCAUUGAUUUGCCUUGACAUUAUGAUGUUUUAGAUGCUGUGAGAACAUGU